rnacentral:rRNA from 1 species
GGACCUAGACCGCUAUCGGAUCGAUACUAAGCCAUGCGAGUCAUCGUAGCAAUACAAGGCAGACGGCUCAGUAACGCGUAGUCAACCUACCCUAUGGACGGGAAUAACCUCGGGAAACUGAGUAUAAUGCCCGAUAGAACAUUAUGCCUGGAAUGGUUUAUGUUCCAAAUGAUUUAUCGCCGUAGGAUGGGACUGCGGCCUAUCAGUUUGUUGGUGAGGUAAUGGCCCACCAAGACUAUUACAGGUACGGGCUCUGAGAGGAGUGGCCCGGAGAUGGGUACUGAGACACGGACCCAGGCCCUAUGGGGCGCAGCAGGCGAGAAAACUUUGCAAUGUGCGAAAGCACGACAAGGUUAAUCCGAGUGGUUUCUGCUAAAGGAACCUUUUGUCAGUCCUAGAAACACUGAUGAAUAAGGGGUGGGCAAGUUCUGGUGU